rnacentral:rRNA from 1 species
CGAACUCUGGUAUUGAUUGGUGCUUGCAUCAUGAUUUACAUUUGAGUGAGUGGCGAACUGGUGAGUAACACGUGGGAAACCUGCCCAGAAGCGGGGGAUAACACCUGGAAACAGAUGCUAAUACCGCAUAACAACUUGGACCGCAUGGUCCGAGCUUGAAAGAUGGCUUCGGCUAUCACUUUUGGAUGGUCCCGCGGCGUAUUAGCUAGAUGGUGGGGUAACGGCUCACCAUGGCAAUGAUACGUAGCCGACCUGAGAGGGUAAUCGGCCACAUUGGGACUGAGACACGGCCCAAACUCCUACGGGAGGCAGCAGUAGGGAAUCUUCCACAAUGGACGAAAGUCUGAUGGAGCAACGCCGCGUGAGUGAAGAAGGGUUUCGGCUCGUAAAACUCUGUUGUUAAAGAAGAACAUAUCUGAGAGUAACUGUUCAGGUAUUGACGGUAUUUAACCAGAAAGCCACGGCUAACUACGUGCCAGCAGCCGCGGUAAUACGUAGGUGGCAAGCGUUGUCCGGAUUUAUUGGGCGUAAAGCGAGCGCAGGCGGUUUUUUAAGUCUGAUGUGAAAGCCUUCGGCUCAACCGAAGAAGUGCAUCGGAAACUGGGAAACUUGAGUGCAGAAGAGGACAGUGGAACUCCAUGUGUAGCGGUGAAAUGCGUAGAUAUAUGGAAGAACACCAGUGGCGAAGGCGGCUGUCUGGUCUGUAACUGACGCUGAGGCUCGAAAGUAUGGGUAGCAAACAGGAUUAGAUACCCUGGUAGUCCAUACCGUAAACGAUGAAUGCUAAGUGUUGGAGGGUUUCCGCCCUUCAGUGCUGCAGCUAACGCAUUAAGCAUUCCGCCUGGGGAGUACGGCCGCAAGGCUGAAACUCAAAGGAAUUGACGGGGGCCCGCACAAGCGGUGGAGCAUGUGGUUUAAUUCGAAGCUACGCGAAGAACCUUACCAGGUCUUGACAUACUAUGCAAAUCUAAGAGAUUAGACGUUCCCUUCGGGGACAUGGAUACAGGUGGUGCAUGGUUGUCGUCAGCUCGUGUCGUGAGAUGUUGGGUUAAGUCCCGCAACGAGCGCAACCCUUAUUAUCAGUUGCCAGCAUUAAGUUGGGCACUCUGGUGAGACUGCCGGUGACAAACCGGAGGAAGGUGGGGAUGACGUCAAAUCAUCAUGCCCCUUAUGACCUGGGCUACACACGUGCUACAAUGGAUGGUACAACGAGUUGCGAACUCGCGAGAGUAAGCUAAUCUCUUAAAGCCAUUCUCAGUUCGGAUUGUAGGCUGCAACUCGCCUACAUGAAGUCGGAAUCGCUAGUAAUCGCGGAUCAGCAUGCCGCGGUGAAUACGUUCCCGGGCCUUGUACACACCGCCCGUCACACCAUGAGAGUUUGUAACACCCAAAGUCGGUGGGGUAACCUUUUAGGAACCAGCCGCCU